UGGGAUAUAACUCAGUGGUAGAGGCGUGCCUGUCAUAUAUAUGAGAAACUGGGUUCAAUCCCCAGUACCACAA
rnacentral:tRNA from 1 species